AUUGAACGCUGGCGGCAUGCCUUACACAUGCAAGUCGAACGGUAACAGGUUAAGCUGACGAGUGGCGAACGGGUGAGUAAUACAUCGGAACGUGCCCAGUAGUGGGGGAUAGCCCGGCGAAAGCCGGAUUAAUACCGCAUACGACCUAAGGGUGAAAGGGGGGGAUCGCAAGACCUCUCGCUAUUGGAGCGGCCGAUGUCAGAUUAGCUAGUUGGUGGGGUAAAAGCUCACCAAGGCGACGAUCUGUAGCUGGUCUGAGAGGACGACCAGCCACACUGGGACUGAGACACGGCCCAGACUCCUACGGGAGGCAGCAGUGGGGAAUUUUGGACAAUGGGCGCAAGCCUGAUCCAGCCAUGCCGCGUGCGGGAAGAAGGCCUUCGGGUUGUAAACCGCUUUUGUCAGGGAAGAAAUCCUUUGGGUUAAUACCUCGGGGGGAUGACGGUACCGGAAGAAUAAGCACCGGCUAACUACGU
rnacentral:rRNA from 1 species